rnacentral:siRNA from 1 species
ACCUCGACUGUCAUUCAGAUAAU